CCUGAACUGAGAGACUGAAGAGUGUCAUUGUUCUCUACAGGUUGAGGGAUUGUGGAGUCACAGAUGAAGGUUGUGCUGCUCUGGCUUCAGCGCUGAGAUCAAACCCCUCACACCUGAGAUAUCUGGAUCUGUCUGGAAAUAAACUAGGAGCGUCAGAUGUGAAGCUGCUCUCUGAUCUGAAGGAUGAUCCACAUUAUAAACUGAAGAUGCUAGACUUUAAGAUGUUAGUCUGACCGUCUCUGAUCGCUGAUGGUGAAUAAAGAGCCGCUACAGACAGACAUCACAUUCAACAGAAUCAACAGACACACACCCACAGUGAUCAUCACACACACGUGUUUGUGCAGCUUUACAGAAUCAUGCAAUUCAUGAUUAGAAAUCAGACGAGGAAAACUUCUGACUUUUUCCUCCGAAGUGACUUUUGUACUGGUGCCACAUUUUACAUAAUAAUAUUGCCAGUUUUUGUGACAGUAUGUGUAUUUUCU